AGUGAACGCUGGCGGUAGGCCUAACACAUGCAAGUCGAACGGCAGCACAGUAAGAGCUCGCUCUUACGGGUGGCGAGUGGCGGACGGGUGAGGAAUACAUCGGAAUCUACUUUUUCGUGGGGGAUAACGUAGGUAAACUUACGCUAAUACCGCAUACGCCCUACGGGUGAAAGCAGGGGAUCUUCGGACCUUGCGCGAUUGAAUGAGCCGAUGUCGGAUUCGCUAGUUGGCGGGGUAAAGGCCCACCAAGGCGACGAUCCGUAGCUGGUCUGAGAGGGUGAUCAGCCACACUGGAACUGAGACACGCUCCCGACUCCUACAGGAGGCAGCAGUGGGGAAUAUUGGACGAUGGGCGCAAGCCUGAUCCAGCCAUACCGCGUGGGUGAAGAAGGCCUUCGGGUUGUAAAGUCCUUUUGUUGGGAAAGAAAAGCAGCAGGUUAAUAACCCGCUGUUCUGACAGUACCCAAAGAAUAAGCACCGGCUAACUUCGUG
rnacentral:rRNA from 1 species